rnacentral:rRNA from 1 species
UACGUAGGGUCCGAGCGUUGUCCGGAAUUAUUGGGCGUAAAGAGCUCGUAGGUGGUUUGGUAAGUCGGGUGUGAAACCUCCAGGCUCAACCUGGAGACGCCACCCGAUACUGUCGUGACUAGAGUCCAGUAGGGGAGCGUGGAAUUCCUGGUGUAGCGGUGAAAUGCGCAGAUAUCAGGAGGAACACCAGCGGCGAAGGCGGCGCUCUGGGCUGGAACUGACGCUGAUGCGCGAAAGCCAGGGGAGCGAACGGG